rnacentral:rRNA from 1 species
UACGGGGGGGGCAAGCGUUGUUCGGAAUUACUGGGCGUAAAGGGCUCGUAGGCGGCCAACUAAGUCAGACGUGAAAUCCCUCGGCUUAACCGGAGAACUGCGUCUGAUACUGGAUGGCUUGAGAUUGGGAGAGGGAUGCGGAAUUCCAGGUGUAGCGGUGGAAUGCGUAGAGAUCAGGUGGAACACCGAUGGCGAAGGCAGCACUCUGGCCGAGUUACUGACGCUGAGGCGCGAAAGCUGGGGGAGCGAACGGG